CAACAUCUUAAUCAGCAAGUUCGUGCGCUGGAGAUAGCAAUAGAAGUAGCAACACCUGCCAUUAUUAAUCUUAAAGAUACUUCAAAUGAGCCAGACAACAAAGUCGGAUCAACAGUGCGCCUUGCUGCCGCUGCUCAAGUAACAUUUGCAAACCCACCCAGUAUAACCUGUUGAUCCGAACGUAACAUCGAGGUCGUGCCUUGUUGCUGCUGAUUAUGCUUUGAUGUGGAUAGCAUUGUAUGUGUGGAUGACCGCAUUGCUAGAAAAGUUGUUGAGUGGACUGCACAGUAUUAAGAUGAUUUUCUGCUUUUAGUUUAUUUUUUUAUUAAAUUAAUUAUUCAUGUGUAGAGCAAUGGCUGGUGCAGUCCCUUUUGAGGAAGCUUUAGCUGGCAGACUUGAUCUUUUCAGACCUUCAUCAUCAGCAGUCACAACUUUCUAGAGAAGCGACCCCAAGGCUUUCUUCUAGCAUAAGGGAAUUGGUUCAGAAGCUCAAGGAAAGUGGUAAGACUGGUUAUUUGAUAUCUAGAGGUUUUUGUCAAAGGAUCAAUGCAAGAUUAUAGAGAGUCAAUAAUUGAUCAUUGUCAUUUUAAGUAUAAAUAAAACUAUAUUUCCAAUUACAUGCAGUAAAUGCUGCCGGAGCUCUUUUACAUGGGCUGGAGGAUGAAUAUUAUAAGGUGAUGGUCCGUUGAUGGGCUAAAAGGCAUUAGAACUGGCCACCAGUUACAAGUUUACUCACUACCACAACACUAGCAAGGUGGCCACCAGUCCACAAAUGCAAAUUUGCAGCACUUUGAACUCCAAAAGCAGUGAGUAUAUAUGGACUUGAAGAAGACAGUCUAGAAACAACUCUUAGUUUUUGUGUACAUUUAUUUUCCUUUGCAACUUUUGUAGAUAGGUUUUGAUUAGAAGUUAUGUCUUUCAUUGGUAUUUAAAUUGAAAAGUUAUGUAUGGAUUUUUGGUUA